AUUGAACGCUGGCGGAAUGCUUUACACAUGCAAGUCGAACGGCAGCACGGACUUCGGUCUGGUGGCGAGUGGCGAACGGGUGAGUAAUGUAUCGGAACGUGCCCAGUCGUGGGGGAUAACGUAGUGAAAAUUACGCUAAUACCGCAUACGAUCUAUGGAUGAAAGCGGGGGAUCGCAAGACCUCGCGCGAUUGGAGCGGCCGAUAUCAGAUUAGGUAGUUGGUGGGGUAAAGGCCCACCAAGCCAACGAUCUGUAGCUGGUCUGAGAGGACGACCAGCCACACUGGAACUGAGACACGGUGCAGACUCCUACGGGAGGCAGCAGUGGGUAAUUUUGGACAAUGGGCGAAAGCCUUAUUCAGCCAUUCCGCUUGCAGGAUUAAUGCCCUCGGGUUGUAAACUGCUUUUGCCCACAACGAAAAUGCUUCUACUAAUACUAGGACCUCAUGACGCUACCGUAAGAAUUACUAUCGGCUAACUCCCUCCCAGCAGCCGCGGUAA
rnacentral:rRNA from 1 species